CCCCGAAGGAAGCGAUCUGUGUGCCAAUCUAUCUAGAUCAAUCACCAUCCUCAUGAUGAUACUAUGAUUGGAAGUAUUUAAAAAUUUUAUAUAUACCUCUAAUUCUCAAUACUUUAAGAAUAUGUAUCAAAGUAUUAAUUUCAUGGAUGAUUCAAGAACACAUCACUCUUGAAUGAAAAUUUAACUUCUUCUUUUAUUGAUUAAAUCAAUAUUUUAAGCAUAAAAUUA
rnacentral:lncRNA from 1 species